UUCCCUACCCCUGCUCUAGCAAGCUCUUUCUAGCGCAGCCACCGCUGUCGCCCAGGAACCUCCCUUCUCCCUUUCCUCGUCCCACCUCGUCUUUCCCGCUCCCAACGCCAUGGAGCCGGACACGGCCACAGAGGCAGCCACCGUGGCAGCCUCGGAUGCCAGAGCCACAAUCGUGGUCCUAGAGGAUGAGCAGCCCGGGCCGUCCACCUUUAAAGAGGAGGGAGCGGCUGCUGCCGCCACCGAAGCCACCACGGCCACUGAGAAGGGCGAGAAGAAGGAGAAAAUCACUUCUCCAUUUCAACUCAAACUUGCUGCUAAAACUUCCAAAUCUGAAAAGGAAAUGGACCCAGAAUAUGAAGAGAAAAUG
rnacentral:lncRNA from 1 species